CCUACGGGUGGCAGCAGUGGGGAAUAUUGCACAAUGGGGGAAACCCUGAUGCAGCAACGCCGCGUGAGUGACGAAGUAUUUCGGUAUGUAAAGCUCUAUCAGCAGGGAAGAAAAUGACGGUACCUGAGUAAGAAGCCAUGGACAACUACGUGCCAGCAGCCGCGGUAAUACGGAGGGGGCAAGCGUUAUCCGGAUUUACUGGGUGUAAAGGGAGCGUAGACGGCGAUGCAAGUCUGAAGUGAAAGCCCGGGGCUCAACCCCGGGACGGCUUUGGAUACUGUAUGGCUGGAGUGCUGGAGAGGCAAGCGGAAUUCCUGGUGUAGCGGUGAAAUGCGUAGAUAUUAGGAAGAACACCGGUGGCGAAGGCGGCUUGCUGGACAGUAACUGACGUUGAGGCUCGAAAGCGUGGGGAGCAAACAGGAUUAGAUACCCUAGUAGUC
rnacentral:rRNA from 1 species